AAUUUGUGAUAAGUUCGAUCUUUGAAUGCAAAUU
rnacentral:rRNA from 1 species